rnacentral:misc_RNA from 1 species
UGUGCUUCGUGAAGAUAUCCAUGAAGAAUACGUGCAAGUUAGCUUGAAGACUUGUGCGUGUGAUUGCUGGUGCAUCCGCUUGCAUGGUGUGCUGUGCUAUUUUCCAACAGUUCUUUUCAGAGCUAACAGUCUUGUUUCACGAACAUUAAAACAGCUCUUUUCAGAGCUAUGUGCUUUCUGUUUCACGAACACGUCAAUGUAUCUUGGUAACGGUAAUGGUUAAGGUUAUGAACGGUGAAGGUAUUUUUAAGGUAAAGGUAUCGGUAAGGUUAAAUGGUAAAGGUAUCGGUAUGGUUAAAUGGUAAAGGUAUCAGGUAAGUUAUCUUGAAGCCUCAUUGAAUUACUAUUACUACUUAUGUAAUAAUAGUUCGAUGUGGUAGGUAGCCACAUCUAUAAUA